UGGGGAAUUUUGGACAAUGGGGGAAACCCUGAUCCAGCCAUCCCGCGUGUGCGAUGAAGGCCUUCGGGUUGUAAAGCACUUUUGGCAGGAAAGAAACGUCAUGGGUUAAUACCCCGUGAAACUGACGGUACCUGCAGAAUAAGCACCGGCUAACUACGUGCCAGCAGCCGCGGUAAUACGUAGGGUGCAAGCGUUAAUCGGAAUUACUGGGCGUAAAGCGUGCGCAGGCGGUUCGGAAAGAAAGAUGUGAAAUCCCAGAGCUCAACUUUGGAACUGCAUUUUUAACUAACGGGCUAGAGUGUGUCAGAGGGGGGGGGAAUUCCGCGUGUAGCAGUGAAAUGCGUAGAUAUGCGGAGGAACACCGAUGGCGAAGGCAGCCUCCUGGGAUAACACUGACGCUCAUGCACGAAAGCGUGGGGAGCAAACAGG
rnacentral:rRNA from 1 species